AUGCAGUCGAACGGUAACAGGUCUUCGGAUGCUGACGAGUGGCGAACGGGUGAGUAAUACAUCGGAACGUGCCCGAUCGUGGGGGAUAACGGAGCGAAAGCUUUGCUAAUACCGCAUACGAUCUACGGAUGAAAGCAGGGGACCGCAAGGCCUUGCGCGGACGGAGCGGCCGAUGGCAGAUUAGGUAGUUGGUGGGAUAAAAACUUACCAAGCCGACGAUCUGUAGCUGGUCUGAGAGGACGACCAGCCACACUGGGACUGAGACACGGCCCAGACUCCUACGGGAGGCAGCAGUGGGGAAUAUUGGACAAUGGGCGGAAGCCUGAUCCAGCCAUGCCGCGUGUGUGAAGAAGGCCUUAUGGUUGUAAAGCACUUUAAGCGAGGAGGAGGCUACUCUAGUUAAUACCUAGAGAUAGUGGACGUUACUCGCAGAAUAAGCACCGGCUAACUCUGUGCCAGCAGCCGCGGUAAUACAGAGGGUGCGAGCGUUAAUCGGAAUUACUGGGCGUAAAGCGUGCGCAGGCGGUUCGGAAAGAAGGAUGUGAAAUCCCAGGGCUCAACCUUGGAACUGCAUUCUUAACUACCGGACUAGAGUAUGUCAGAGGGGGGUAGAAUUCCGCGUGUAGCAGUGAAAUGCGUAGAUAUGCGGAGGAAUACCGAUGGCGAAGGCAGCCCCCUGGGAUAAUACUGACGCUCAUGCACGAAAGCGUGGGUAGCAAACAGGAUUAGA
rnacentral:rRNA from 1 species